UCCGGUGAAGUGUUCGGAUCGCGGCGACUUGGGCGGUUCGCUGCUUGUGACGUCGCGAGAAGUCCACUGAACCUUAUCAUUUAGAGGAAGGAGAAGUCGUAACAAGGUUUCCGUAGGUGAACCUGCGGAAGGAUCAUUGUCGAAACCUGCCCAGCAGAACGACCCGCGAACUUGUGUUUAUGCUCGAGCGGGGACGGCGUGGGGAGCUCUGGCUGCCCUCGUUGGCCCCCUCCUGCUGUGGGGGGUGAGCGGGAUCUCUCGCUCGCUCCUCGCAGCAGAACAACAAACCCCCGGCGCGAGCUGCGCCAAGGAAAAUUUAACGAGAGCGAGCGCUCCCGCCGCCCCGGACACGGAUCGACGUGCGGGAUGCGUCUCCUUCUUUCAAUGAAAAUCAAAAACGACUCUCGGCAACGGAUAUCUCGGCUCUCGCAUCGAUGAAGAACGUAGUGAAAUGCGAUACUUGGUGUGAAUUGCAGAAUCCCGUGAACCAUCGAGUCUUUGAACGCAAGUUGCGCCCCAAGCCUUUAGGCCGAGGGCACGCCUGCCUGGGUGUCACGCAUUGUUGCCCCCCAAACCCCCUCUUGGGGAAUAGGUGGUCGGGCGAAAAAUGGCUUCCCGUGCGCUCCCGCUCGCGGUUGGCCCAAAUUUGAGUCUUUCGGCGACCGUGCCGCGACGAUCGGUGGUGUAACAUGCCUCUCGAGCUCCUGUCGCGCGCUCGUGUUUCCGUGCCAUGGGCUCGCGAACCCU
rnacentral:rRNA from 1 species